UCCACAGUAGCUCAGUGGUAGAGCUAUCGGCUGUUAACCGAUCGGUCGUAGGUUCGAGUCCUACCUGUGCAGCCA
rnacentral:tRNA from 1 species